GACGAACGCUGGCGGCGUGCUUAACACAUGCAAGUCGAACGGAAAGGCCCUGCUUUUGUGGGGUGCUCGAGUGGCGAACGGGUGAGUAACACGUGAGUAACCUGCCCUUGACUUUGGGAUAACUUCAGGAAACUGGGGCUAAUACCGGAUAGGAGCUCCUGCUGCAUGGUGGGGGUUGGAAAGUUUCGGCGGUUGGGGAUGGACUCGCGGCUUAUCAGCUUGUUGGUGGGGUAGUGGCUUACCAAGGCUUUGACGGGUAGCCGGCCUGAGAGGGUGACCGGCCACAUUGGGACUGAGAUACGGCCCAGACUCCUACGGGAGGCAGCAGUGGGGAAUAUUGCACAAUGGGCGGAAGCCGGAUGCAGCAACGCCGCGUGCGGGAUGACGGCCUUCGGGUUGUAAACCGCUUUCGCCUGUGACAAAGCGUGAGUGACGGUAAUGGGUAAAGAAGCACCGGCUAACUACGUG
rnacentral:rRNA from 1 species